rnacentral:tRNA from 1 species
GCUCUGGUGGUGCAGUGGUUAAACAUUUGGCUGCUAACCAAGAGGUCUGCAGUUUGAAUCUACCAGUGCU